GCUCAAAUUUGAAAUCUUCAAGGUUCUACCUUGACGAAUUGUAGUUUAAAGAAGUGUUUUCUGUUAGAUGAGUAGCAAAAGUUCCUUGGAAUGGGACAUCAUAGAGGGUGAGAAUCCCGUAUUUGGUUAUUCAUUCUAGCUUUGUGAUACACUUUCAAAGAGUCGGAUUGUUUGGGAAUGCAGUCCAAAAUGGGUGGUAAAUUUCAUCUAAAGCUAAAUAUUGGCGAGAGACCGAUAGCGAACAAGUACCGUGAGGGAAAGAUGAAAAGAACUUUGAAAAGAGAGUUAAACAGUACGUGAAAUUGUCAAAAGGGAAGCGUUUGACACCAGUGUUGUUUUUCCGAAAAUCAAUUACGAAUGGCUUGAUUUUGUGUUGUAUUGACCUUAUCAGCUUUCUUCACUUUUUUCGAGUCUUUCUUAAUGCACUUUUCAUUUAACAAG
rnacentral:rRNA from 1 species